rnacentral:rRNA from 1 species
AUCUGAGCGUCUUAUUUUAAUAAGUCAAAACUUUCAACAACGGAUCUCUUGGUUCUGGCAUCGAUGAAGAACGCAGCGAAAUGCGAUUAAGUAAUGUUGAAUUGCAGAAUUCAGUGAAUCAUCGAAUCUUUGAACGCACAUUGCGCCCAUUAGUAUUCUAGUGGGCAUGCCUGUUCGAGCGUCAUUUCAACCCUUAAGCCUAGCUUA